CAGUCGCCACGGUAAUACGGAGGGUGCAAGCGUUAUCCGGAUUUAUUGGGUUUAAAGGGUCCGUAGGCGGACUUAUAAGUCAGUGGUGAAAGCCUGUCGCUUAACGAUAGAACUGCCAUUGAUACUGUAAGUCUUGAGUAUAUUUGAGGUAGCUGGAAUAAGUAGUGUAGCGGUGAAAUGCAUAGAUAUUACUUAGAACACCAAUUGCGAAGGCAGGUUACCAAGAUAUAACUGACGCUGAGGGACGAAAGCGUGGGUAGCGAACAGGAUUAGAUACCCGUGUAGUCCCUGUCUCUUAUAC
rnacentral:rRNA from 1 species